UGCCGGCUGUGCAGUGGGAGCUGG
rnacentral:miRNA from 1 species